CUUGGACUCGCUCUUCAGCGAUGGAAUCAACUUGCCUCCCCUCAAGGAACAAGGGGUUUGGAAUACUGUCCUUCCGAGACUUUUCACGGCUAUGACCGAGGGAGGUGAAGAUGUGCUGCGGUUCGAGGCCCCCGAUACCCUGGCUAGGGACAAAUUUCUUUUGGUUUAGGGACGAGGAGUUUGCUCGGCAAAAACUUGCCGGUCUAAAUCCGCAUAGCAUUCGGUUAGUUACGGAAUGGCCAUCGAAAAGCAAACUGGCUCCGAAGAUAUAUGGCCUGGCAGAGUCUGCAAUCACCGAAGAAAUGAUCAACCGAGAAAUCAGAGGUGUCAUGACGGUGGAGCAGGCAUUGAAACAGAAAAGGUUGCUCAUACUAGAUUACCACGACUUAUGUUACCAUAUGUCAAGAAUGUCCGAGAGCUUAACGGAACGACAUGUAUGGAUCACGAACAUUUUUUUCUAAAACUCUAACGACACAUUGAGGCGUUAGCCAUUGAGUUAACUCGACCACCGAUGGAUGGAAAGCUGCAGUGGAAACAAGUGUAUGCACCUUCCUGGGAUUCGACGGCGUGUUGGCUCUGGCGGCUAGCGAAAGUUCAUGUCCUCGCUCACGAUGCGAGCUAUCAUCAACUGUAGUCAUUGGUUAAGGACUCAUUGUUUCACUGAGCCUUAUAUUAUCUCAACUAAUCGGCAACUCAGCGUUAUGAAUCCAAUAUAUAGGCUGUUACAUCCCUAUUCCGGUACACGAUAGAGAUUAAUUCACUAGCUCUGAAUCACUGAUCAAUGCCGAUGGGAUUAUAGAGAACGUGUUCUCGCCCAACAAGUACUCGAUUGAGCUUUGUGCCAUUGCCUAUGACUUGGAGUGGCGAUUCGAUCAUCAAGCUCUACGGGCCGAUCUAAUAAGCAGGGAGAUGGCUGAUGAGGAUCCAAAUGCAUCUCAUGGUCUAAGGCUACCCAUCAAUGACUACCCUUUUGCCAAUGAUGGUUUUCUCAUUUGGGAUGCUUUGGGACAAUGUGUUCGGCUUAUGUCAACCUUACUACCCGAAUGCGAAUCUCAUCGAGUCGGAUAACGAGCUUCUAGAAUGGUGGAACGAAAUUCGUACAGUCGGUCACGGUGACAAAAAGGAUCAACCAUGGUGGCCUGUUCUAAGAAACCACAAGACCUUAUUAGUAUCAUCAAACUAUUAUCUGGGCCACUUCGGAACACCACGCAGCAGUGAACUUCGG